UUCCUACGGGGCGCAGCAGUGGGGGAUAUUGCACAAUGGGGGAAACCCUGAUGCAGCGACGCCGCGUGAGUGAAGAAGUAUUUCGGUAUGUAAAGCUCUAUCAGCAGGGAAGAAAAUGACAGUACCUGACCAAGAAGCCCCGGCUAACUACGUGCCAGCAGCCGCGGUAAUACGUAGGGGGCAAGCGUUAUCCGGAUUUACUGGGUGUAAAGGGAGCGUAGACGGCAGUGCAAGUCUGGAGUGAAAGGCGGGGGCUCA
rnacentral:rRNA from 1 species